rnacentral:rRNA from 1 species
AGAACGAACGCUGGCGGCAUGCCUAAUACAUGCAAGUCGAACGAACUCUUCGGAGUUAGUGGCGCACGGGUGCGUAACGCGUGGGAAUCUGCCCCUUGGUUCGGAAUAACAGUUGGAAACGACUGCUAAUACCGGAUGAUGACGAAAGUCCAAAGAUUUAUCGCCAAGGGAUGAGCCCGCGUAGGAUUAGCUAGUUGGUGAGGUAAAGGCUCACCAAGGCAACGAUCCUUAGCUGGUCUGAGAGGAUGAUCAGCCACACUGGGACUGAGACACGGCCCAGACUCCUACGGGAGGCAGCAGUAGGGAAUAUGGACAAUGGCGAAAGCCUGAUCCAGCAAUGCCGCGUGAUGAUGAAGGCCUUAGGUUGUAAAGCUACGUUUUACCCGAGAUUCGAUUAAUGACAGUAUACGGAGAAAUUAAGCCCCCGGAUAAACCGUCCGUACGCCCAAGACCGUAGCCGUACGGU